rnacentral:sRNA from 1 species
UCAAAGGCUUUCUAGUAUUCCCCCCUUUUAUUAUCUGACAAAGCGAAUUCGCUUUGUCCUUUUUU